rnacentral:rRNA from 1 species
UACGGGGGAGGCAAGCGUUGUUCGGAUUUACUGGGCGUAAAGGGCGCGUAGGCGGCCACCGCAAGUCGGUUGUGAAAUCUCCGAGCUUAACUCGGAACGGGUCAAUUGAUACUGCUGUGCUAGAGUGCAGAAAGGGCAAUCGGAAUUCUUGGUGUAGCGGUGAAAUGCGUAGAUAUCAAGAGGAACACCUGAGGCGAAGGCGGGUUGCUAGGCUGAACACUGGACGCUGGAUGCGCGAAAGCUAGGGUAGCAAACGGG